rnacentral:rRNA from 12 species
GUGUCGUGAGAUGUUUGGUUAAUUCCUUUAACGAGCGUAACUCUUGUCUUUAAAAUAACAUAUUAAUUAUAUAAAAUGUUUUUAAUGAUACGGUCAAUGAUAAAUUGAAGGAAGGGAAGAAUCAAGUCAAGUCAAGGUGGCCCUUAUGGGUUGGGCUACACACGUGCUACAAUGGACGGUACAACGAGAAGCGACCCUGUGAAGGCAAGCGGAUCUCUGAAAGCCGUUCUCAGUUCGGAUUGCAGGCUGCA